UACAGAGGGUGCAAACGUUGUUCGGAAUUACUGGGCGUAAAGCGUGUGUAGGCGGCCACGUAAGUCGGAUGUGAAAGCCCCGGGCUCAACCCGGGAAGUGCACUCGAUACUGCGUGGCUUGAGUACUGGAGAGGUUGGUGGAAUUCUCGGUGUAGAGGUGAAAUUCGUAGAUAUCGAGAGGAACACCGGUGGCGAAGGCGGCCAACUGGACAGAUACUGACGCUGAGACACGAAAGCGUGGGUAGCAAACAGG
rnacentral:rRNA from 1 species